rfam:Brachypodium distachyon strain Bd21 chromosome 3, whole genome shotgun sequence.
AUUAUACUCCCGCCGUCUUAUAUUAAGUGACUUUCUGUUAAAUGUAUCUAGACGUAUUUAAGUAUAUAGAUACGUUCAUAUUUAGACAAUUUUAAAUCACUUAAUAUGGGACGGAGGGAGUAUUUU